AGGGAUUAGUUUUUGCUUCGGUACAAAAAUUUAAGAAACACAUCGGAGGGUGGUGGUUACUCUGCCCUGCUCCAAAUGAACAUUCUCAUAGUUAUCUCCGCUUCAAUCUCUCUACUUCUAGCCAUACUCAUUGCUUCUCUCCAUCUUCUCCACCCCACAUAUUUUCCUUUAUGGAAGAAGCUUCCACAGUCUACUCUUCCAUUAGUAUCUGAUUUCAUUAUAAAAAAUGGGGUUAUAUACACAAGUGAUGAGUCUCUCCCAUUUGCAAACUCCAUGGCAGUUGCUAAUGGAAGGGUUAUUCGUAUUGGAAACUUCUCUUUUGUCCAGGAGGUGGCAGGUGAUGAAACUCAAGUGUUGGAUCUUGAGGGGAAAGUUGUGGUUCCUGGAUUUAUUGAUUCACAUGUUCACUUCAUUUCUGGUGGCCUACAGAUGAUGCAGGUGGGACUAAGAGGUGUGAAUGAGAAGGAAGAAGUCAUAAGAAUGAUCAAAGAAGCGGUUCAAAGCACAAAACCAGGUUCCUGGAUUUUGGGUGGUGGAUGGAACAAUGACCUAUGGGGAGGAGAUUUGCCUGCUGCCGAUUGGAUUGAUGAUAUUACACCUAAUAAUCCUGUUUGGUUAUCAAGAAUGGAUGGACAUAUGGGAUGGGCUAAUUCAGUGGCAUUAACGCUGGCCGGGAUUACAAACAUAACUGACAGUCCAAGAGGAGGAACUAUAGUGAGGACAGGUGGUGGAGAACCUACUGGAUUGCUAAUUGAUUCUGCAAUGGUGCUAGUAGCCUCCCAAAUUCCUGAGCGUUCAGUAGAUGACAGGAGAGAAGCGUUGCGCAAAGCAAGCAAUCUUGCUUUGAAAAGGGGUGUGACAACAGUUGUUGAUAUGGGAAGAUAUUUUCCAGGGGUUUCAGCAGAUCUUUCUUGGGAGGAUUUUUCAGAUGUUUAUCUUUGGACCAAUGCUAUGUCAAAAAUGAAAGUUAGAGUGUGUUUGUUUUUUCCCAUGGAGACAUGGCCACGGUUAGCGGAUCUGAUUAAUAAAAAGGGUCAUGCCUUAAGUCAAUGGGUUUAUUUUGGUGGUGUCAAAGCUUUUGCUGAUGGGUCUUUGGGUUCCAAUAGUGCAUUGUUUUAUGAGCCUUAUCAAGAUGAGCCGGACAACUAUGGCUUACAAGUGACAGAACCUGAUGCUCUUCUCAACAUGACCUUGGAGUCAGAUUUAUCUGGUCUUCAGGUUGCAAUUCAUGCUAUAGGAGACAGGGCAAAUGACCUGAUCUUGGAUUUACAUAGUUCAGUUGCUUCUACAAAUGGAAUGAGAGAUCGAAGAUUUAGGAUUGAGCAUGCUCAGCAGUUGGCACCUGGUACGCCAUCCAGAUUUGGCAAAGAAGGGGUUGUUGCAUCUGUGCAGCCAGAUCAGUUAUUGGAUGAUGCCGACACUGCCGGUAAAAAGCUUGGCAAUGAUAGGGCUGAAAAGGAAUCAUAUUUAUUUAAGUCACUAUUAGAUUCCAAUGCAUUGGUUGCAUUUGGUUCUGACUGGCCAGUGGUAGACAUCGAUCCCUUGAGUGGCAUUAAGACAGCAGUGACAAGAAGACCUCCUACUUGGAAAGAGGCAUGGAUUCCAUCAGAGUGCAUUUCAUUAGAAGAGGCAAUAAAGGGAAAUAUAAUUUCAGAUAGGAUUUGAGUAUAAGAGGAGAGAAGAUAUGAGUAGAUUUUGGUUAUCCACAUCAUUACUACUGUCAUUUUUCUUUGGGUGUUAACCCUCCGGUUUUCUGGGGAAGAGGCCCAUGAUAAUUCAGAGUUUGGUCAAGGUAAGUAAAGCCUAGCCAAUAACUGUUCCACCUAGGAAUGAACUCGGGUUAUCCCAAACUAUUCGUUCUUUGGUGCAGCUCAUUAACCAUGUAUACAAUUUCUGCUGCUCGUGCAAGCUUCAUUGACAAUGAUUUGGGAUCCUUAUCUAUUGGAAAACUAGCAGAUUUUGUCAUAUUAUCCACUGAUUCAUGGAAAGACUUUGCUGAAACAGCAUCUGCAUCCAUUGAGGCA